rnacentral:rRNA from 1 species
AGUCGAGCGGACAGAUGGGAGCUUGCUCCCUGAUGUUAGCGGCGGACGGGUGAGUAACACGUGGGUAACCUGCCUGUAAGACUGGGAUAACUCCGGGAAACCGGGGCUAAUACCGGAUGCUUGUUUGAACCGCAUGGUUCAGACAUAAAAGGUGGCUUCGGCUACCACUUACAGAUGGACCCGCGGCGCAUUAGCUAGUUGGUGAGGUAACGGCUCACCAAGGCGACGAUGCGUAGCCGACCUGAGAGGGUGAUCGGCCACACUGGGACUGAGACACGGCCCAGACUCCUACGGGAGGCAGCAGUAGGGAAUCUUCCGCAAUGGACGAAAGUCUGACGGAGCAACGCCGCGUGAGUGAUGAAGGUUUUCGGAUCGUAAAGCUCUGUUGUUAGGGAAGAACAAGUGCCGUUCAAAUAGGGCGGCACCUUGACGGUACCUAACCAGAAAGCCACGGCUAACUACGUGCCAGCAGCCGCGGUAAUACGUAGGUGGCAAGCGUUGUCCGGAAUUAUUGGGCGUAAAGGGCUCGCAGGCGGUUUCUUAAGUCUGAUGUGAAAGCCCCCGGCUCAACCGGGGAGGGUCAUUGGAAACUGGGGAACUUGAGUGCAGAAGAGGAGAGUGGAAUUCCACGUGUAGCGGUGAAAUGCGUAGAGAUGUGGAGGAACACCAGUGGCGAAGGCGACUCUCUGGUCUGUAACUGACGCUGAGGAGCGAAAGCGUGGGGAGCGAACAGGAUUAGAUACCCUGGUAGUCCACGCCGUAAACGAUGAGUGCUAAGUGUUAGGGGGUUUCCGCCCCUUAGUGCUGCAGCUAACGCAUUAAGCACUCCGCCUGGGGAGUACGGUCGCAAGACUGAAACUCAAAGGAAUUGACGGGGGCCCGCACAAGCGGUGGAGCAUGUGGGUUAAUUCGAAGCAACGCGAAGAACCUUACCAGGUCUUGACAUCCUCUGACAAUCCUAGAGAUAGGACGUCCCCUUCGGGGGCAGAGUGACAGGUGGUGCAUGGUUGUCGUCAGCUCGUGUCGUGAGAUGUUGGGUUAAGUCCCGCAACGAGCGCAACCCUUGAUCUUAGUUGCCAGCAUUCAGUUGGGCACUCUAAGGUGACUGCCGGUGACAAACCGGAGGAAGGUGGGGAUGACGUCAAAUCAUCAUGCCCCUUAUGACCUGGGCUACACACGUGCUACAAUGGGCAGAACAAAGGGCAGCGAAACCGCGAGGUUAAGCCAAUCCCACAAAUCUGUUCUCAGUUCGGAUCGCAGUCUGCAACUCGACUGCGUGAAGCUGGAAUCGCUAGUAAUCGCGGAUCAGCAUGCCGCGGUGAAUACGUUCCCGGGCCUUGUACACACCGCCCGUCACACCACGAGAGUUUGUAACACCCGAAGUCGGUGAGGUA